UACGUAGGGUGCAAGCGUUGUCCGGAAUUAUUGGGCGUAAAGAGCUCGUAGGCGGUGUGUCGCGUCGGCCGUGAAAACCUGCAGCUUAACUGUGGGCUUGCGGUCGAUACGGGCAUCACUGGAGUUCGGCAGGGGAGACUGGAAUUCCUGGUGUAGCGGUGAAAUGCGCAGAUAUCAGGAGGAACACCGAUGGCGAAGGCAGGUCUCUGGGCCAUAACUGACGCUGAGAAGCGAAAGCAUGGGGAGCGAACAGG
rnacentral:rRNA from 1 species